rnacentral:misc_RNA from 1 species
AUUAGAUCCUGAUGAUGAAAAGAACCUCUCAAAUUUCUUUGAAGAAGUAAAUGCGAUUAAGAUUGACAUGGAAGAGAUGGCCAAUCUCCUCCUUGACCUUCAAGACCUAAAUGAAGAGUCAAAAUCCACUCACAGUAUGAAAUUGCUGAAAGGAAUUAGAGACAGAAUAAACUCAGAUAUGGUCACCAUUCUUCGAAAAGCCAAGGUUAUCAAGUCAAGAUUGGAAUCACUUGACAGGUCUAAUGUGGAUAAUCGUAGUUUGUCAACGGCUUACAAAGAAGGUAGCCCCAUUGAUCGAACUCGUGUUUCAGUGACGAAUGGCUUGAGAGUUAAAUUAAGAAACAUGAUGCAUGAUUUUCAAUCAUUGAGAGACCAGAUUUGUAAAGAUCACAAGGAGGGGCUCAAAAGGAGGUACUAUAAUGUGACUGGUGAGCAACCGAGUGAGGAAAUGUUAGAGAAAAUGGUUUUGGGAGGUGGGCAAGAGAAGGUUUUUGAAGGUAAAACAGAUUUGGUGAUGGAGAAUCAAGAGAGGCAUGAAGCUUUGAAGGAGAUACAGAGAAGCUUGACUGAGUUGCAUCAACUGUUUCUUGAUAUGGCUGUUUUGGUAGAGAAACAAGGUGAUGAUAUUAACAAUAUUGAAGAGAAUGUAGCUUGUGCUGGGACUUACAUCACUGGUGGGACUAAUGGGCUAUACUACGCUAAGCAAAUGAAGAAGAAGAGAAGCAAUUGGGGUUGUUGGAUUGGGUUAAUUUUACUGGUACUAUUGGUAAUUCUUGUUUCCACCCUUGCUUCUUGAAGUAUUUGUAGGACAUUUUGAUAGAUGGUUUUUAUUGUUAAGCUUGCAUGAAUGAGAUUCGUUUUUGUGAUUAUAUACACAAACAAUAGAGAAUUUCUCAUGAAAGAUGGAGUGUUAUUGUGGUUGAUGGAUUCCAUUAGGAUUAAUGUGUUUGAUGAUAUCUCUUCGUCUCCCACUUUUUACAGUUUCUUUGUAAUUCCAUAUUUGGACAACUAAG